GUCUUUUUGAAAUAAUUUAAAGUCUAGUCUGCCCCCUGAUAAUUAUUAAAGGGCUGCAGUAUUUUGACUGUACAAAGGUAGCAUAAUCAUUUGUCUCUUAAUUAGUGACUUGUAUGAAAGAUUGGAUGAAAUAUAAACUGUCUCAAUAUAAUUUAUAAAAUUUAAUUUUUUAGUCAAAAAGCUAAAAUAAAUUUAAAAGACGAGAAGACCCUAUAGAGUUUUAUAUUUUUUUUUAUAAUAAUAAAAUGUAAAUUUUUAAAUUAAAAUAAAAAAAAUUAUUUUGUUGGGGUGACAAAAAAAUUUAAAUAACUUUUUUUAAAAAAAAUUACAUUAAUUUAUGAUAAAUUGAUCCAUUAAUAAUGAUUAUAAGAAAAAAUUACCUUAGGGAUAACAGCGUAAUUUUUUUUUUUAGGCCAAAUAAGAAAAAAAGUUUGCGACCUCGAUGUUGGAUUAAGAUAAAAUUUAAAUGCAAAAGUUUAAAAUUUUUGAUCUGUUCGAUCAUUAAAA
rnacentral:rRNA from 1 species